GGGGUAAUUUCAGAAGUAAAUUUAUUCUUUAAUAGAAUUUCAUAUAUACCAGUAGAGUACUUCAUAGAAGAAACUCCGAGGACCCAACAACCCUAAGCAGCUGAGAAUUAACAUAAUUCAUCUCCAAACCAUCAUUAAGACCGAGGAAUUCAUUGAAAAUGAACAAGCUUUAUAUACAAAUACACCAUUAAACAGUAAAACAACACAAAGAUUACCCAUUAGUUGUAGAACCUCAUCCAGUAAGUAACAUCAGCAACAUCAUCAAUAUUCAACACUGUAAUUGCUGUAAUCAUCCCUGGAGGCUAUGUUGUUUUCAACUCUCCCAGCAAUCU
rnacentral:lncRNA from 1 species